UCUUUGGUCCAUUUUAAGAGGAAGUAAAAGUCGUAACAAGGUUUCCGUAGGGUGAACCUGCGGAAGGAUCAUUAUUGAAAUAAACCUGAUGGGUUGUUGCUGGUUCUCUAGGGAGCAUGUGCACACCUUGUCAUCUUUAUAUCUCCACCUGUGCACUUUUUGUAGACCUUUCAGGUCUAUGUUGCUUCAUUUACCCCAAUGUAUGUUAAUAGAAUGUUGUGCCUAUAUAAUAUAUACAACUUUCAGCAACGGAUCUCUUGGCUCUCGCAUCGAUGAAGAACGCAGCGAAAUGCGAUAAGUAAUGUGAAUUGCAGAAUUCAGUGAAUCAUCGAAUCUUUGAACGCACCUUGCGCUCCUUGGUAUUCCGAGGAGCAUGCCUGUUUGAGUGUCAUUAAUAUAUCAACCUUCUCUUUUUUGAGUUGUUUGGAUGUGGGGGUUUGCUGGCCUCUUAAAUGAUUCAGCUCCCCUGAAAUGCAUUAGCAGAACAACCUGUUCAUUGGCGUGAUAAUUAUCUAUGCUAUUGAAUGUGAGGGCAGUUCAGCUUUCUAACCGUCCUUGGACAAUUCAUCAUUAAUGUGACCUCAAAUCAGGUAGGACUACCCGCUGAACUUAAGCAUAUCA
rnacentral:rRNA from 1 species